AAAUGCGAUAAGUAGUGUGAAUUGCAGAAUUCAGUGAAUCAUCGAAUCUUUGAACGCACAUUGCGCCCUUUGGUAUUCCUUAGGGCAUGCCUGUUCGAGCGUCAUCUAAACCUUCAAGCCCUGCUUGGUGUUGGGUGCCUGUCCCGCCUCCGCGCGCGGACUCACCUCAAAUCCAUUGGCGGCCCCCGCGUCGGCCACGAGCGCAGCAGAAACGCGAACUCGUGAGCCCGUCCGGGCGGCUCCCAGAAGCUACACCCACCCAGUUUGACCUCGGAUCAGGUAGGGAUACCCGCUGAAGUUAAGC
rnacentral:misc_RNA from 1 species